CUGGCGCCAGGAACGCAGUGCUCUUGAAAACCGCCAGGGCUGAUAACAGCCCUUGUGGGUUCGAAUCCCAUGCUCUCCA
rnacentral:tRNA from 1 species